rnacentral:rRNA from 1 species
CCUUACGGGAGGCAGCAGUGGGGGAUAUUGCACAAUGGGGGAAACCCUGAUGCAGCGACGCCGCGUGAGUGAAGAAGUAUUUCGGUAUGUAAAGCUCUAUCAGCAGGGAAGAAGAUGACAGUACCUGAGUAAGAAGCCCCGGCUAACUACGCGCCAGCAGCCGCGGUAAUACGCAGGGGGCAAGCGUUAUCCGGAUUUACUGGGUGUAAAGGGAGCGUAGACGGUUGUAUAAGUCUGGAGUGAAAGCCCGGGGCCCAACCCC